GGACAACAAAACAAUGAUCCUCACAUUUUGAGAUCCUUUUUAAACCAGUGAUUUAUGGAAUAGUGAUUUUAAUUUGCACACAUGUGAUUGCUGGGCCAUUUUACUGUCUCUUAGAGGUUUAAGGCAAAGCAUAGAGGUGCUAAAGUGGCACGGUAAGUACACAUCCUCAUUCUGCUGUGUCCACAGACACUCUGCAGCUGAAACACCACGACAGGCAUUUGUGUGAUGUCAGAAUGAGCUGGAUUCUCACUGCUGCUGUAAUGUCACAGUGCUUGUAGCCAUACAGCUCUUUUUUCUGCUAACGUAAUGGUGAACAUGAUAGUGUUUCGUCAUUAUCAUUUACAGAGUCCCAUUACAUCUGUAGAGUUUAAUAGUAUUGAAAAUCAUUAUUGUUUUGCAAUCAUUAGAUUUUUUUUAGUAAAUUGGCCAGACUCAUUAUGGCAAUGAGAACUUGUUGGGAAAAUCUGUUUAGUAAAAUAUUUAUUUUGAUUUAUGUCAGGUUUUGUCAGAUUCACCUGUAUGAUGUAAUGACAUGUUAGCAUGUUGGCUAGUUGAUCAGGGCAGUUAUAUUUCAGUGUGGAUGCGAUGAGUUUUAGUUUUUGCACACUCUGUACUCACAUUUCCAGCUUGUCUACGGUGCAGCAUGAUUCUGCACGUGAGCACUGAUUAAUAUCACACACUGGACUAGUUGUUAACUAAUGUUUGGAUUCAUUUCUGAAAUGUGCUGUUGCUCCCACUGAAUAUGGGAACAUGUAUGGUGUGGCAGCUGUAUUUUGUCUGAUCUGUGUGUAGAUCACCUACAGAGGUAUCAAAAACCCAGAAGCCUUGGAGAGGAAAAAGAAGAAACAAGAAGAGACAGAGAAACAGACUAUGAACUCUGUACCUUCUGAAGGCGGCGGGCUAAAGUGGCAGGUUGGCUAACACAGGCUGAAGAGAAGAUCACUGGUCAUUUCCCGCUGACUUGUUCUUUCGGUUCUUAUUUUGAAAUGUACACUAGCAAGGGGAGUUUGCAUAGAGACUAGAAUUUUUGUCAAGCUCCCGCACAAAACUUCUAAUCCUCCAGGCCUUCUGAUUGGCCAGAGUGCAUUCAGGCCACACCCCUUUAAAUGCCAAGGUGGGCAAGCUAUUGGAUUUCUGGGAUAGUGCUUUUAGCAAUUAAUGUUUUUUUCCCACAACUUAUUCAGUUUAUGUUUAUGCAUCAUUUCACACAUGCAGCUUUUGUACCAAUGUCCUUUCUAUUUUUGACAUUGAUCAAGAACUGAAUGUCAUUUUAAUACACAUUUAUACAACUGAAAAGCAUGUUUUAUAUUGGAUUUUGGAUAAUUUAAUACAUAUUUAGCCAUUUAUAUUUAUGCAUCAGUUACCAGUGUGUUUUGGUUGUAAGCUCAUAGUGUUUAGCGAUUUGUCAGGACUUGAAGUAUAAUAAUAAUGAAGAAUAUUGAAGGAUAUUAUGUCAGUUAGCACUUUCACUGCCUGUUGAUUGUAUGACUUGCUGUUCUUAUGAACCAAAUUGAAUGUGCAUCACUUUAUCUUCUCAGACACAUUAGUUUCUCACCCUUUCUGAAGGGCUUUGGUUGUCUUAAGUUAAGAAAAUCUUAACUUAUCACAUUAAAACUCAGCAUCCAUGUGUUGGGCCGUGCAGCAGUGACUGUAGCAGCCUGAGCUAUAGUGAACAGUGUGGAAUACACUUUAUCUCUAGGAACUCUGAGUGAACUCUACAUAUUGCCUUUGAUGCAUUUAUUUUAUGUUAUGCUCAUGAGUUAUUACCUCUGCCUAUAGCUACUCACUCAAUGCUUGUGACAGGGAAACAGAUUUGCACCAAAUUAUCAAGUGAAAUAUCUUCCCAGGGUUCAUUCAGAAUGGAUUAUUAACAUACAGACACUGUAUAACAAUAAUACAAUACAUCAGAGUUUUGCAAUGUUCAUGCUUACCAGUAGAGGACAGUGGCACACUUUCAGAUCAGGAACUGUUUUAGAACCACAACUGCAAGGAGGCAUUGCUUAAAUAAAGAGUGUGUUUGAUUGAACAGCCAA